UCUGUCUUCUGACUUGUUCUACCGGCCUUAUUGACGAGGUCAUUCGUUCCUUCAAUUCAAGGGUGAAGAUCCCUUCAAAUCAUAAUCAUUGCCUGCGUAUAUAUCUACGAUCUUUCUGAUUCUUGAGAGUUAUAUUAAAAAAACAAGUAAGAUCACAAAUCGUCGGGUGGUUUAGUGAUAAUAUUCAUAAGCUGGCGAAAUGGUUUUCUGAUAAACUGGAACAGCAGCAUGAGCAAUCGUUGGUGCAAGAGCUUUUCCGACUACAGGAACAGAACUGUGAACCUGAACAUGAUCUAAACGCGCGGUUUUUAUAAAGGUAGGUUGUUGUACGGAUACUCUUUCUAUUUUUGUUGCUGGUUCCACAACAUUCACUUCUUGAAGAGUUUCAAUUGGUCUGCUAAUCACGACACGUCGUGUAGAAACUCGUUCAUCAGCUGGUUCUGCAGAUUCCGGAGCUGGAGUGGCGGAAAUUACUCGACCUCGAACCUGACCAGCAUCUCCAAUUGCGGAUUGAGAAGAACUUGAACGACCGAAUCCAACCUUUAAAAAUA